GACGAACGCUGGCGGCGUGCCUAAUACAUGCAAGUUGAACGCUUGCGACUGGUACUUGUACUAGACGCAAGAGUAGCGAACGGGUGAGUAACGCGUGGGUAACCUACCUCUUAGCGGGGGACAACUAUUGGAAACGAUAGCUAAUACCGCAUAAUAAUUUUUAACACAUGUUAGGAAUUUGAAAGUACCAACUGGUACACUAAGAGAUGGACCCGCGUUGUAUUAGCUAGUUGGUAGUGUAAUGGACUACCAAGGCGAUGAUACAUAGCCGACCUGAGAGGGUGAUCGGCCACAUUGGGACUGAGACACGGCCCAAACUCCUACGGGAGGCAGCAGUGGGGAAUAUUGGACAAUGGGGGCAACCCUGAUCCAGCCAUGCCGCGUGAGUGAUGAAGGCCUUAGGGUUGUAAAGCUCUUUCACCGGUGAAGAUAAUGACGGUAACCGGAGAAGAAGCCCCGGCUAACUUCGUGCCAGCCGCCGCCGU
rnacentral:rRNA from 1 species